GGCCGGCUGGCCUAAUGGUUAAGGCGUCAGUUUCCGGUUUACCGGAAUCAGCUGAAGAUUCUGGGUUCGACUCCCAGGUUGGUCG